CCUCUCACUGCCUGAGUGGGCAUUGCUGCGAAAGCAAAACACUUGUUUCAGAGAUCCACGCCAUGUAACUAAGAGGAGCUGGAAGGCUGGGAACAGUUGGAUCUGCAGAGGAGCUCAUGCUACUGUUAAGAAUGGAGCCUGUGGGUUGGAAAAGGCUGAGAGUGCUGACCUGG
rnacentral:lncRNA from 13 species